GCAUCUUUUCUCAUCUUGCAGCUGACAGCAUCCUGUACAUCACAGGAUUUGGUCAUUAGGCUUCGUGAAACUUUCAGAAUUCUACUCUUGGGAACUGGCUGAGAGAGGAAGAUAUUUUCUGUGUGAAUUGGCAACCGAUAGGAGUGAAGAGGAUGUGCAAAGGAUGGAACUGGGCAUUCCCUGUGGAGCUGUGAUAUGUGGUUGGCAGGCUGCAGGCAAGAAUCCUGAAUCUAGCAUUUUUAUAUAUCUGUACAUUUGUAGGUAGAUUUAAAAAUUGUGUAAGCAUAGUGGGUUGAUUUGCUUUAAUUAAAACAAAUCAAGAUAUUUGUGGUUCAGUUCCAAUUAGAGCGUGAGAGAACAGUUCAAGUCUGUGAUUUGGGAGUGAGGCAGUAAGAAGCUCAAAAAGAACUGGAAAGGAAC
rnacentral:lncRNA from 1 species